AUGGCCAUACCACAUUGAAAACACCAGUUCUUGUCCGAUCACCCAAGUUAAGCAAUGUCGGGCCUGGUCAGUACUUGGGAGGGUGACCACCUGGUACAGUGU
rnacentral:rRNA from 1 species